rnacentral:misc_RNA from 1 species
AGGGUCGGCUGGCUAAUGGACAGGACAUUGCUGUAAAAAGACUAUCCAAAAAUUCAAGACAAGGAGUAGAAGAAUUUAAGAAUGAAGUUAUGUUGAUUGCCAAGCUUCAACACAGGAAUCUUGUUAAACUUCUUGGAUGCUGCAUUGAGAGAGAAGAACAGAUGUUAGUUUAUGAAUACUUGCCAAACAAAAGCUUGGACUCGUUUCUUUUUGAUGAAGCAAGAAGCUCAUUUUUGGAUUGGGGAAAACGCUUCAAUAUUAUCAUUGGCAUUGCUCGCGGGAUCUUAUAUCUUCAUCAAGAC